rnacentral:rRNA from 1 species
GCGUCUUAAGGGCAUUUGGUGGAUGCCUUGGUGUUGAGAGGCGAUGAAGGACGUGACACGCUGCGAUAAGCUGUGGGGAGCCGUGAGUAGGCUUUGAUCCGCAGAUUUCCGAAUGGGGAAACCCGGCACUGUAGUGUCACCCGAGAGGGAGCGAACCCGGAGAACUGAAACAUCUCAGUACCCGGAGGAAAGGACAUCAAUA